rnacentral:rRNA from 1 species
UGACGGUAUUUAACCAGAAAGUCACGGCUAACUACGUGCCAGCAGCCGCGGUAAUACGUAGGUGGCAAGCGUUAUCCGGAUUUAUUGGGCGUAAAGAGAGUGCAGGCGGUUUUCUAAGUCUGAUGUGAAAGCCUUCGGCUUAACCGGAGAAGUGCAUCGGAAACUGGAUAACUUGAGUGCAGAAGAGGGUAGUGGAACUCCAUGUGUAGCGGUGGAAUGCGUAGAUAUAUGGAAGAACACCAGUGGCGAAGGCGGCUACCUGGUCUGCAACUGACGCUGAGACUCGAAAGCAUGGGUAGCGAACAGGAUUAGAUACCCUGGUAGUCCAUGCCGUAAACGAUGAGUGCUAGGUGUUGGAGGGUUUCCGCCCUUCAGUGCCGGAGCUAACGCAUUAAGCACUCCGCCUGGGGAGUACGACCGCAAGGUUGAAACUCAAAGGAAUUGACGGGGGCCCGCACAAGCGGUGGAGCAUGUGGUUUAAUUCGAAGCUACGCGAAGAACCUUACCAGGUCUUGACAUCUUGCGCCAACCCUAGAGAUAGGGCGUUUCCUUCGGGAACGCAAUGACAGGUGGUGCAUGGUCGUCGUCAGCUCGUGUCGUGAGAUGUUGGGUUAAGUCCCGCAACGAGCGCAACCCUUGUUACUAGUUGCCAGCAUUAAGUUGGGCACUCUAGUGAGACUGCCGGUGACAAACCGGAGGAAGGUGGGGACGACGUCAGAUCAUCAUGCCCCUUAUGACCUGGGCUACACACGUGCUACAAUGGACGGUACAACGAGUCGCGAACUCGCGAGGGCAAGCAAAUCUCUUAAAACCGUUCUCAGUUCGGACUGCAGGCUGCAACUCGCCUGCACGAAGUCGGAAUCGCUAGUAAUCGCGGAUCAGCAUGCCGCGGUGAAUACGUUCCCGGGCCUUGUACACACCGCCCGUCACACCAUGAGAGUUUGUAACACCCAAAGUCGGUGG